rnacentral:rRNA from 1 species
UACGUAGGGUGCGAGCGUUGUCCGGAUUCAUUGGGCGUAAAGAGCACGCAGGCGGUUUGGUAAGUCGGAUGUGAAAACCCGAAGCUCAACUUCGGGCCUGCAUCCGAAACUGCCCGACUAGAGGUAGGUAGGGGAGAUCGGAAUUCCUGGUGUAGCGGUGAAAUGCGCAGAUAUCAGGAGGAACACCGGUGGCGAAGGCGGAUCUCUGGGCCUUACCUGACGCUCAGGUGCGAAAGCUAGGGGAGCGAACAGG